rnacentral:lncRNA from 1 species
AAAUAAAGAGUGAGGCAGCACAGAUAAAAUAUAAGAAAAAGUUUGUGAGAAAAAUAGAGAGUUUGAAAGAUAUUGUAGUGAUGUAGAAUAUUAAAAGAAAGUUAUUUCUUUUGAGUGUUAUAAUUGUCUUUGUAGUAUUUACUCGGGCCUACAAAGUGUAAAAUUCCUUACUAUAGUGAUAUUAGUUUCUCCUCCAGGAGUCGUGGUUUUUUCAAUUAUUCAGAAGGGUUUUUCACGUAAAAUUUUUAGUGACAUUGUCACUCUUUUAUUUUUGUUGAUUACUGUAUCUCACUAUUAUAUUAUUAUUGUGCUUUUAUUACAAUGAAUAUUAUUACUGUGAAGAUUUAUUACCAACAUAAUAUUCAAUAUUUAUUUAAUAUUUAUUGCCAACAUAAUAUUCAAUAUAUAUUUACAAAAAUAACAAACCAUUUACUACUAUGUGCUCACCUAAAUAAUUAUAUCUAAUCAAAUAUAUUACUCCCUCGGUUUCAAUUUAUGUAAACCUGUUUGACUGUGUAUGGAGUUUAAGAAAAAUGAAUAUUUUGAAAUUUGUGGUCUUAAACAAGUCAAAAAGGGGUUCAGACUAUUUAUAUGGUUAUAAAAGGUUCUCAUUAAGGGUAAAAUUAUAAGUUUAAACUGUUAUGAAAUCUCCUAUUUAAGGUGAAUGUCUAUAAUUAGAGAGAUUCUAGAGUUC